rnacentral:tRNA from 1 species
GUGGUUUUAGUUUAUAAAAAUAUUUGCUUUGCAAGCAGAAGAUCCAAGAAAAGCUUGGAUUCCACA